CAGGGUUUGACAUCCUGAGACCGCUCCCUAAUAGGAGUUUUCCCGCAAGGGACUCAGAGACAGGUGCUGCAUGGCUGUCGUCAGCUCGUGUCGUGAGAUGUUGGGUUAAGUCCCCCGAACGAGCGCAACCCUCGCCUUUAGUUGCCAUCAUUCAGUUGGGCACUCUAGAGGGACCGCCGGCGACAAGCCGGAGGAAGGUGGGGAUGACGUCAAGUCCUCAUGGCCCUUACACCCUGGGCUACACACGUGCUACAAUGGCGGUGACAGUGGGCAGCUACUUCGCGAGAAGCGGCUAAUCCCAAAAAACCGCCCCAGUUCAGAUUGUACUCUGCAACUCGAGUACAUGAAGGUGGAAUCGCUAGUAAUCGCAGAACAGCAGGCUGCGGUGAAUACGUUCCCGGGCCUUGUACACACCGCCCGUCACGGCAUGGGAGUUGGUUCUACCUUAAGACGGCGCGCUAACCGCAAGGGGGCAGCCGGCCACGGUAGGAUCAGCGNUCUGGGCCGAAGUCGUAACAAGGUAGCCGU
rnacentral:rRNA from 1 species